rnacentral:rRNA from 1 species
CCUACGGGAGGCAGCAGUGAGGAAUAUUGGUCAAUGGCCGGAAGGCUGAACCAGCCAAGCCGCGUGAAGGACGAAGGUGCCAAGCAUUGUAAACUUCUAUCAACAGGGACGAAAGAAAUGACGGUACCUGAAUAAGAAGCCCCGGCUAACUACGUGCCAGCAGCCGCGGGAAUACGUAGGGGGCAAGCGUUAUCCGGAAUUACUGGGUGUAAAGGGUGAGUAGGCGGGAUGGUAAGCCAGAUGUGAAAGCCUUGGGCUUAACCCGAGGAUUGCAUUUGGAACUAUCAAGCUAGAGUACAGGAGAGGAAAGCGGAAUUCCUAGUGUAGCGGUGAAAUGCGUAGAGAUUAGGAAGAACACCAGUGGCGAAGGCGGCUUUCUGGACUGAAACUGACGCUGAGGCACGAAAGCGUGGGGAGCGAACAGGAUUAGAUACCCUGGUAGUC